UGUGAGCCAGGUUGGUUUCUAUCUUUAAAUUUAGUUUAUAUUUUAGUACGAAAGGACCAGAUAUAUAUAAAAUUUAUUAAAUUUUGAAUAAAAAUGUUAUUUUGGCAGAUUAGUGCAAUAGAUUUAGAAUCUUUAAAUGUAAUUAUAUUACAAAUAA
rnacentral:tRNA from 1 species